rnacentral:rRNA from 1 species
CCUACGGGAGGCAGCAGUGGGGAAUAUUGGACAAUGGGCGCAAGCCUGAUCCAGCCAUGCCGCGUGAGUGAUGAAGGCCUUAGGGUUGUAAAGCUCUUUUGUCCGGGACGAUAAUGACGGUACCGGAAGAAUAAGCCCCGGCUAACUUCGUGCCAGCAGCCGCGGUAAUACGAAGGGGGCUAGCGUUGCUCGGAAUCACUGGGCGUAAAGGGCGCGUAGGCGGCCGAUUAAGUCGGGGGUGAAAGCCUGUGGCUCAACCACAGAAUUGCCUUCGAUACUGGUUGGCUUGAGACCGGAAGAGGACAGCGGAACUGCGAGUGUAGAGGUGAAAUUCGUAGAUAUUCGCAAGAACACCAGUGGCGAAGGCGGCUGUCUGGUCCGGUUCUGACGCUGAGGCGCGAAAGCGUGGGGAGCAAACAGGAUUAGAUACCCCGGUAGUC